GGAUGGGCCGGCACCGCGCCGCGUCCCGGGAGCGUUCCUUACACAGCUCCGGGGUCGACCUGAAACAAUAGGAUCGGGGCCGGGAGGUCGGGAAUGGGAUCGGGGGCGCGGGGUUGUGGGGUUGGGAUUGGUGGGACUGAGGGGAUUGGGAUCACCAAUGGGACUGGGAUGGUCAAUAGGGUUGGUUGGGUGCUAUGGGGUCAGGAAUGGUGGGUAUGGGAUCAUCAAUGGGACUGGGGUGGGUGAUGGGGUUGGUUGGGUGCUAUGGGGUCAGGACUGCUGGGACUGGGGGGAUUGGGAUCACCGAUGGGAUCAGUUGGGCGCUGUGGGGUUGGGACUGGGGGCACUGGGAUGGUCAUUGGGGUCCAUUGGGUGCUAUGGGGUCAGGACUGGUGGGAUUGGGAUCACCAAUGGGACUGGGGGGACUGGGGUGGGUGAUGGGGUCCAUUGGGUGCUAUGGGGUCAAGACUGCGGGGACUGGGGGGACUGGGAUGGUGAAUAGGGUCGGUUGGGUGCUAUGGGGUCAGGACUGGUGGGACUGGGAUCACCAAUGGGACUGGGGUGGGUGAUGGGGUCAGUUGGGGGCUAUGGGGUCAGGACUGGGGGCACUGGGAUGGUUAUUGGGGUCCAUUGGGUGCUAUGGGGUCGGGACUGGGGGCACUGGGAUCAGCAAUGGGGUCGGUUGGGUGCUGUGGGGUCAGGACUGGUGGGACUGGGAUGGUCAAUGGGGUCAGUUGGGGGCUAUGGGGUCAGGACCGGUGGGACUGGGGGCACUGGGAUGGUCACUGGGGUCCUUUGGGUGCUAUGGGGUUGGGACUGGGGGAACUGGGGGCACUGCGAUGGUCAGCGGGGUCCUUUGGGUGCUAUGGGGUCGGGACUGGGGGCACUGGGAUCAGCAAUGGGAUCAGUUCGGUGCUGUGGGGUCGGGACUGGUGGGACUGGGGGGACUGGGAUGGUCAGUGGGGUGAGCUGGGUGCUGUGGGGUCGGGACUGGGGGCACUGGGUGGGUGUGCAAGGGUGCGAGGGGUUGUGUGGCAUCACGUGGGUGUGCACGAGUGUGCAAAUGCGUGUGAUCCCGUGCCUGACACGUGGGGGGUUGUUGUGCAAAGGGCUGCGGUUGUGUGCGAGCGUGCGAGCGUGCACAGAUCGCUCUGUUUGCACACUUAUGUGGGUGUGCACGAGGGGGUGGGCGUGCACAAGGAGAUGAGUGUGCAAUGUGGGGGUGCACGAGUGUGCAAGAACGCAUGAAGCCGUGUGCUUGUGCACACUGUGAGGGAUGUGGGUGUGAGAAGAGCUGUGCGUGUGCACUGUAGCACAUGGGUGUGCAAGCAUGCAUGAGCGCCUGCCCUCGUGCAACAUAUGUUGAAGCACGUGGGUGUGCAACGGGUGUGCAGGAUUGCACAAGCGCACAGAAACACGCGCGUGUGGGCGGGUGAGGGGCGUGCAAGGGGGUGGGGGUGCACAGAUGUGCAGAAGAGGGGAUGUGAGUGUGCAAGAGCGCACGAAGCCGAGUGCUUGUGCACACUGGGAUGCAACACACAGGCGUGCAAAGGGGUGUGGGUGUGCACAACAGUGCGGCUGUAGACACGUGGGGGGGUGAGUGUGCAAGCAUGCGUGGCAUUGAGACCCUGUGUGCACGUGGGUGCGAGCAGGGCUGCGCUACAGCACGCGUGUGAGCACACAGGCGUGCAAGCACGUGCGAGCGUGUGACUGCGUGCAUCUCCUUACGGAAUACACACGAGCGUGCAAAGGGCGGCCGAGCUUUGGGGGUGCGCACAAGCUAACCUGGGUGGGGUGGGACUGGGAUGGUCAAUGGGGUCAGUUGGGGGCUAUGGGGUCAGGACCGGUGGGACUGGGGGCACUGGGAUGGUCAAUAGGGUCCUUUGGGUGCUAUGGGGUUGGGACUGGGGGAACUGGGGGCACUGCGAUGGUCAGCGGGGUCCUUUGGGUGCUAUGGGGUCAGGACUGGGGGAACUGGGGGGACUGGGAUGGUCAAUAGGGUCCUUUGGGCGCUAUGGGGUCAGGUGUGGUGGGAUUGGGAUCACCAAUGGGACUGAGGGGACUGGGAUGGGCGAUGGGGUCCAUUGGGUGCUAUGGGGUUGGGACUGGUGGGAUUGGGAUCACCAAUGGGAUCAGUUGGGUGCUAUGGGGUCGGGACUGGGGGAACUGGGGGCACUGGGAUGGUGAAUGGGGUGAGAUGGGUGCUG
ensembl:lncRNA